UGUUUGUUUCCAUUUUAGCUUCAUUGCCCACAUGAAUUGAAUUUGAUAAGGUAUGUGUUUAUGAUGUUGGGUAAGAAGUAAUAAGAUUGUCUCUGACUCUGUUAUUGUCUUUUGUUGGUGUAUUGUAUUGAUAGGGAUGUGUGCGUCAAACUUGGAGUCUUCAUCCAAAGAUAAGGUGAGAAGGAAACUUUUGGCCACUACUCAUUAGGCUCAAAUUUGGAUAUUUCACAUUUAGGGGGUUCUUUCAUGGUUAUUCAUUUAUUACGGUUCUCAUGAUUCUAAAUCAUGCCCUCAGUGGCAUUGUUGGAUCUAUGAUGUUAAAGUAUGCUGAUAAUAUUGUGA